rnacentral:rRNA from 1 species
GUUAGGAAUCUUCCACAAUGGGGGCAACCCUGAUGGAGCAACACCGCGUGCUGGAUGAAGGCCUUCGGGUCGUAAACAGCUUUUGUAUACGAAGAAUAUGACGGUAAUAUACGAAUAAGGGUCGGCUAACUACGUGCCAGCAGCCGCGGUCAUAAGUAGGACCCAAGCGUUAUCCGGAGUGACUGGGCGUAAAGAGUUGCGUAGGCGGCUUAUUAAGCGAGUAGUGAAAUCUGGUGGCUCAACCAUCAACACAUUGAUCGAACUGAUAGGCUUGAGAAUGGUAGAGGUAGUUGGAAUUUCUUGUGUAGGAGUGAAAUCCGUAGAUAUAAGAAGGAACACCAAUGGCGUAGGCAGACUACUGGACCAUUUCUGACGCUGAGGCACGAAAGCGUGGGGAGCGAACCGGAUUAGAAACCCUUGUAGUCC